rnacentral:rRNA from 1 species
UACGAAGGGUGCAAGCGUUACUCGGAAUUACUGGGCGUAAAGCGUGCGCAGGCGGGCUUUUAAGCCAGACGUGAAAUCCCCGGGCUUAACCUGGGAAUGGCGUUUGGGACUGGGAGUCUGGAGUGCGGCAGAGGAGACUGGAAUUCCUGGUGUAGCAGUGAAAUGCGUAGAUAUCAGGAGGAACACCGAUGGCGAAGGCAGGUCUCUGGGCUGACACUGACGCUCAUGCACGAAAGCGUGGGGAGCAAACAGG